AGAGUUUGAUCAUGGCUCAGAACGAACGUUGGCGGCGUGCUUAACACAUGCAAGUCGAACGAGAACGGUUCCUUCGGGAACUCAGUAAAGUGGCGCACGGGUGAGUAACGCGUAAGUAAUCUACCCUUGCAUUCGGGACAACUACGGGAAACUGUAGCUAAUACCGGAUACGUUCUCCUUUCUACGGAUUGGAGAAGAAAGAUGGCCUCUUCUUGAAAGCUAUCGUGCAGGGAGGAGCUUGCGUACCAUUAGCUAGUUGGUAGGGUAAUGGCCUACCAAGGCAACGAUGGUUAGCGGGUCUGAGAGGAUGAUCCGCCACACUGGAACUGAAACACGGACCAGACUCCUACGGGAGGCAGCAGUGAGGAAUAUUGCGCAAUGGGGGAAACCCUGACGCAGCGACGCCGCGUGGAUGAUGAAGGCUUUCGAGUCGUAAAAUCCUGUCAGAUGGGAAGAAAUGCAUAUGUGCUAAUACCACUUAUGUUUGACGGUACCAUCAAAG
rnacentral:rRNA from 1 species